GUGGUAUCUAUUAAUCAAACUGUAACUAAUCAAACAACUCAAAGCAACUCACGGUGGAUUAAGCCACAGUGGUGCCUGCCUAUUGCGCAUGCGCUCUUACCCCACCCCCUCUUGCAAGUCCUCCACAUUUUCCAUCACUGAGUGGCCCGGCUGGAGCAGCGUUCCUUUUUCCCUGGCUGCAGGAGCAGAGGCAGCCAGAGCAACAUGGAGAAAGGGAAGCAGCUCCUGGAUGCUGGCAAAAGAGAGGGCAAGGCAGGAGCUGGCAGGAGCAACUUGAGGAACUAUACAUCGCUUCUGCUGUGAGAGAAUUGGCCGUCUGCACGGAUGUUGCCUAAGGAACAACCAGAUGUUUUUGAUGUUUUACCAUCCUUGUGGGAGGCUUCCCUCAUGUCCCCGCAUGGAGCUGGAGCUGACAGAAGGAGCUCAUCCGCGCUCUCCCCAGCAACUUUUGGAAUGAGCAAGUCAGCAUCACAGUGGAUGAAGAAGCAGCUGCUCCCCCGUGGCUGGAAUCGAGCAUACCCUCAGUAAGCUGGAAGCUGGAAAAGGUUAAAUUGCUUCUGUGUCUCUAUCUCCGUCUCUAUGUUCAUAUGGCAUUGAAUGUGUACAUUGUGAUGCACCCUGAGUCCCCUUUGGGGUGAGAAGGGCAGAAUAUAAAUACUGUAAAUAAAUAAAUAAAUAAAUAAAUAAAGUAGGUAGCUGGCAGAAUGCUUUCUGAUGACUCUGGCAUGAUAUUCAGAAUUGUAUGCAUGCAUGCAUGUGUGCAUGUAUGUACGUAUGUAUAACCAAGGGAUUCAUGGACAGGUGGCAUAUAUACUUUGGUUGUUGCAUCUAAAAGCCAUCUAAAUCAGAUUGACAACUACAUGAUCAAGCAUUAUUUUCAACUACUUCCAACAGAGUCUUUUUGGAGUAUAUGAUAAGAGGUUUUCACAUUGGCUUGUAUGCAGAAACUUGUAUUAUGGUAAUAGUCAAACUACUUAUAUUUGAUACUCUCUGUAUGUGUUGUUUAUUAAAUAGUGUCUGGAUUUAUUUUUAAAAGAACCUGGAAAUGUUUUUUGUUGGUUUUUUUUUUUUUGCAUGGGAAUUUCCAGAAUUCCUCAUUAUGAUUAUGGCCAUUUUUAAAAUCUUCAAAAACUAACUUUUGGAAGCUUUCAGUUGUAUCUAGAAUCCUUCUACUUCACAUCUGAGAUGUUUCAGUGCCCUCAGAAAUGUAUUUGGAUACAUUUUCAGAUCAAAUUAAGAGUGUUAAUUAAUUAUUUUUUAUUUAAAGUUGAUUGUUAGCUGAGAUGAUACAAAUGUAUAGUCUAUUCUUUGACAAAACUAUUUUCCCUUGUUUUCCAACUGUGUUGGCAGCAAUGUGGUUUAGAGAUGUUCCUUUCCCAAAGGGGAAAAGGGGAAAAUAGGCCAUUGCUCAUUUGCAUAUGUUUACUCAUUAACAGGUAUCGAAAUCUGAAAUGUCCCCUUGAACUGCUAUUGAAACCAGCCUUUUAAAAACCCAAGAGGCAAAGAAUAAAAAUGAUAACCACUUUAGGUUUGAAAUGGCCAUAAUUUCUGUUGUUUUUCUAAUAGGUAGAGCAACUGAUGCAAUUUUGUUUCUAUAGUGGGUGUCAAGUGGCAAUAUAAGGUGAUAUCCCAUAACUCCGAUGACUAUAGGAAAACAAAUGGGACAAUUUUACAUAUAUUAUGAGAUGCAUUAAAUGAUCAAGUUAGGAUUCUUGGUGUUCUGGCAGACAGGUUACAAAUAUUGACUCUUUGUGAAAAGCAAAAAUGUCAAUUUCCACGUCGGAACAGAAUGGAAAAGAAUACUGCCAUUAUUUUAAUGUCUUUAUACAAAUCCAUUGUGUAACUAAAACUGGGAUUUUGUAUAAAAUGUUUUCUCUGUGCUACAUAUAAGACAGUUAGAACCUGGCAUCCAAUAGAACCCAUUGAUUUAGCCAAUUUGAGCUCAUAUAUUGGGGGAAAAGCAGAAUAAAAAUAAAGCAAGCAAGCAAACAAACCUAAUGGUGGAAAUUUGAGUCAAUUUAAAGAAAAUACUUCUGCACAACACACAACUAAGUUAUAGAAUUUGCUACCAGAAAAUGAAGCAUGGCCACAGAUGGAGAUUUGAAGAAUAUAUAAGGUUUAAGGUUAUCAGUGGCGACCAAUCAUGAGGCAAUUCAUUACUUGUAAUAUUGAAGGAAGUAUUGCUUUUAGCCACAGUUGCUAAGGAACAAAUCUGAUGAAUACAAUUUCAUGUACAUUCUGUUUAUGGCUGUCUCAUUUAUGUCUUUUUGGCAAUUAUAAGGAGAGAGUACUCGACCAAAUAGGUCAUUUGUCUGAAC